rnacentral:lncRNA from 1 species
GAUCAGAUAAAUGAAACGUAAGAAAAUGAAUUUUAUGACCAUGAACAAAAUCUUGACAUCAGCUCAAUUUUCUCACCAAUGAAGGCUGAUGAAAUUAAAGAGAUUUAGCAAAGAAUUAAUUUAUACAUGUCAGAUAACCAAUACAAUCAUGGUAACUGUGUAAUACAUGACAAAAAACAACUUCUUGAUUUAUGCUUCAAAAUGGUUUACUUAAUGCUAAAAGUAGUAAGAUUGAUUUUUUAAGAGUUAAGAUAAAUGUGACAGGCAAUUUA